CCCGCCUCCUCCUUACUACUAUAAAUCCCCACCACCUCCUUCCCCAUCUCCGCCUCCACCAUACUACUACAAGUCCCCACCCCCACCAUCACCAUCUCCGCCUCCACCGUACUACUACAAAUCUCCCCCGCCUCCAUCACCAUCACCACCCCCUCCAUACUACUAAAUAUCUCCACCUCCUCAGUCACCAGGGCGUGGUUUACGCAAGACCCCCCCCCCCCCCCACCCCCACCCCCCCCCCCUCCAUAUUACUACAAGUCUCCACCCCCACCAUCACCAUCUCCCCCGCCCCCGUAUUACUACAAGUCUCCCCCUCCUCCAUCGCCAUCACCGCCUCCUCCUUACUACUACAAGUCCCCUCCUCCUCCGUCACCAUCUCCACCACCACCAUACUACUACAAAUCUCCUCCACCACCAUCUCCCUCACCACCUCCACCAUACUACUACAAGUCUCCACCUCCUCCGUCACCAUCUCCACCACCACCAUACUACUACAAAUCUCCUCCACCACCAUCUCCCUCACCACCUCCACCACACCCCUACAAGUGUCUACUACAAAUCUCCCCCACCACCAUCUCCCUCACCUCCACCACCGUACUACUACAAGUCCCCUCCCCCUCCAUCUCCCUCACCACCACCACCAUACUACUACAAAUCUCCCCCACCACCAUCUCCCUCACCUCCACCACCGUACUACUACAAGUCCCCUCCCCCUCCAUCUCCCUCACCACCACCACCAUACUACUACAAAUCUCCCCCACCACCAUCUCCCUCACCUCCACCACCGUACUACUACAAGUCCCCUCCCCCACCAUCACCCUCACCACCACCACCAUACUACUACAAGUCUCCCCCACCACCAUCUCCUUCACCUCCACCACCGUACUACUACAAGUCCCCUCCCCCUCCAUCUCCCUCACCACCACCACCGUAUUACUACAAAUCUCCACCACCUCCUUCCCCAUCGCCGCCACCUCCUUACCACUACAAGUCUCCCCCACCACCAUCACCAUCUCCACCACCACCAUACUACUACAAGUCCCCUCCUCCUCCCUCACCGUCACCACCACCACCAUACUACUACAAGUCCCCACCACCACCAUCGCCAUCACCCCCUCCUCCAUACCACUACAGCUCACCUCCCCCACCGGUGAAAUCACCACCACCACCGGCAUACAUCUACUCAUCUCCCCCACCACCAACCCACUACUAGGCUCAAACGCCUCGGCAACACACCACCAAUGUAAGUUCCAUAAUCAUUUCUCCAUUCCAUCAAACUCUAUAUUUCAUUCCUUAACAGCUUUUCUAACAGUACUACUUUCCAUUUCAGAUUUAAGAAUUGACGAUGUAAUAAAAGAAGGCUCCAAUCAUGGUCUGAUAAACCCAACAUCAUCAAUUAGUGCCAAUAAUAACAACAGCCGAUAUGGUUCAGUAUGCAGAGUUGCUAUCCUGCACAUGGCAAUCUUGCUGUGUUCAUCAUCAUCAUCAUCAUCAAGUGGAGUUUUGUUCAAGAAGACGACAUUUGGGAAAUUAAGCAACUAUUCUUAGUUAUCGGAUUUGAUGAUCAAUUGGGUUUGUUCAGAGUUUAUUUGUUUAGUUGAUGUAUGUAAAAUCUAUUUGUUAUUUAGUUUUCCAGCUUUAAUUUUUUGUUGGGGAGGAUUUGGGAAAUGCGUGCUUAAUUAUGUUAUGGAAAUGCUAAUAUUAUAUAAAUUAUUCAAUGUUUAUGUUUGGGGAAGCAACGCAACGCAACGCAAAAUUGAUGUAAUUGCAAUUUUUUAUUGGAGCUUCUUCUACUUAUGUUUGACCUCCCUGCAGAUUGCGAGUAAUAAAGUAAACCCAUUUCAUAUUCUGAUUUUUCGAUUCAAUUUCGAUCGAAAUUACUUACUCACAAAUAAACUUCACUUAGCUUCAAUCUUUAGUAGGCCACUACUGAUCACGACUAUCUUUACAUUGCCUAAAUCGUUCAGAAAUUUGAAUCAGACCGGC
rnacentral:lncRNA from 1 species